UACGUAGGCAGCAAGCGUUGUCCGGAUUUAUUGGGCGUAAAGAGCUCGUAGGUGGUUCGGUAAGUCAGGUGUGAAACCUCCAGGCUCAACCUGGAGACGCCACUUGAUACUGCUGUGACUGGAGUCCGGUAGGGGAGCGUGGAAUUCCACGUGUAGCGGUGAAAUGCGUAGAUAUCAGGAAGAACACCAAUGGCGAAAGCAGCUUUCUGGGACGGUACUGACGCUGAGACGCGAAAGCGUGGGGAGCGAACAGG
rnacentral:rRNA from 1 species